rnacentral:lncRNA from 1 species
ACCAUCAGGCUAACAUUACCCAUUACUGAGUGAAACAGGAAGUGAAGUGAUUGGCUGAGUGAAAGGAGAUUUUGACUUGAGUUUGGUAAGAUCCCACCUAGAAUAUCAUAUUAUAUUUAGUUGUCAAGUC